AUGCAGUCGGCCCACGCACCCAUGUCCUUCAGAUCGCGAAUCACAUCCCACAUGCAGCUGUUGCACUUGAAGCCCGAUCCGAAGGUCACCAUGAGCACCCUGUCCUCUCUCUUGAGCCUCCCCUUGGCCUCCAUGUACGCAAGCACGUACCACACGCUGCUGGCCGACGUGUUUCCCCAGCGGUGCAGCGUCAUCCUCGACGGCUCCACGUCUGCCUCCUCGAGCCCGAAGUUCUUCUUCACGGCGUCGAUCACCGCGACCCCGCCUGAGUGGAGGCAGAAAUGGUCGACGCCGGUCUUUAAGUUGACAUCGAUCUUCACUCGCUUGCGUCGCUUAAUUUUCUGCCACGUAAAGCUGGCGGCAAGCCGGAGGAGCUCCCUAGCAGGGAGGAUGUAA
rnacentral:rRNA from 1 species